AUGGACAUCGUGACCGCAUAUCUUUACGGGUCACUAGAUUCGGACAUAUAUAUGAAGGUUCCUGAUAGAAUCUCUGUCCCAAAUAAAAAUGCAAAACGCAACAUGUAUUGUGUAAAGCUGAAUAAGUCAUUAUAUGACUUAAGGCAGUCAGGACGGAUGUGGUACAACCGACUCAGUGAGUUCCUUCUUCAGAAAGGUUACUCCAAUAGAGCUGAUUGCCCAUGUGUUUUCAUCAAGAAGUCCUCUACAGGAUUUUGCAUCAUUUCUGUGUAUGUUGAUGAUCUCAACAUCAUCGGCAGCACACCAGACAUUGAUGAAGCACGCAAUCACCUAAAGAUGGAAUUUGAGAUGAAGGAUUUGGGUAAAACCAAAUUUUGCUUAGGUAUUCAACUUGAGCAUCUUCCCUCAGGAAUCAUGGUACACCAAUCUGCCUAUAUCCAGAAAAUAUUGGAGAAAUUCAAUAUGGACAAAUCAUAUCCAUCCAAAACUCCUAUGGUGGUUCGAUCUCUAGACGUGGAGAAAGAUCCGUUCAAACCAAGGGAUGAUGGAGAAGAGGUGUUGGGACCUGAAGUUCCAUACCUCAGUGCCGUUGGAGCGCUUAUGUAUCUUGCAAAUUGCACAAGACCUGAUAUUGCAUUUGCAGUGAAUCUACUUGCUAGACAUAGCGCAGCUCCCACCAAACGUCAUUGGUCUGGAGUGAAGAAUAUCUUUUGA
rnacentral:rRNA from 1 species